GAAAGAGGGAAGACAUGAGGCAAAGGUCAGCAGGCCAGGAUUUGAUCCUGCGACGGCCACAUCUGGGACCAAGGCCUCCUUAUUUGGGUUGUGCUUAACCCCUGUGCCACCACAGAACCCCGACACAUUUUUAUAGCUAAACUCUUGAGAAUUUCUGGAAAUAAAAUCCUCCGUUAACGGUUUAAAUCAUCUAGAUUUAAUGGAUCUGAAUGGUGCGUCCAGCUGCAGAAUAAACCUGAUGGUUAGAAACUUUCUGUUUUCCAGACUCUAACUUUCCUCUGGCUGCUGCUGUGACCUUUGGAGUCCUGCUGGUGGUCACCACCCUCAUCCUCCUCAUCUUCAUCAUUAAAAGGAAGCGAACAGCAGCAGGGAGUUCAAACAUCAGGAGAGGAGAAACAGAGCUGAAGACUGAUCACAUCUACAGCAGCAUCCUGCCGCCUCUUCAGCAGGAAACAGGAAGUCAGAAACAGGAAGUAGAGGCUGAGGAGAUGAGCUACGCUUCGGUCCAGUUCAAACACAACAAACUGGACAGAAAAGCAGAAGAACUGGAUCAGACCAUCUACUCUUCAGUAGCCACCAGAGGCUGAGGUCACGACCCGCGACCUCCCAUUUUAAUGUGGCUGUGCUGAAUCAACCAGCAACACCUUCUGGUUUAACCUCAACACAGAAGAAGAAGCAGCUGUCUGGAAGAGCUGUGCUGCAGAUUAGCCUCACAUGGAUAUUAAUCCUCCAUCCUGCUGCAGCAGAAGCUCAAACUGUUUCUGUUUGAGAAACCGGGUCAGAACUGAAGGAAUCACAAUGCUCAAGCAGAGCAGAAAUAUUUAACAGACAGCGUUAGAAACUGGAUGGGAUAUAAAUCAUGUCACCAAAUGAAAUUAUGGUGCUGACAAAACAAAAACAGCCUUUAAAUGUGACCCAGUUCCUGUUGCUUAACUUUUAUUCCUGAGAUCUGUAAAUAUUUUCAAACACAAGAUAAAUUAUGCUUUAACAAGAGACUGUAUAGAAUAUGUAAAUAGUAUAAAAUAAUAUAACAAAUAUAUAAAGUUGUGCAGUA